UGUGGAGGAGAAUCAUCAGCAAUGACACCAAUAAUCAACUCACUCCUGCUGUUACUGUUAAUAAAUGGUGUUCACUGUCAGACCUUCACUCAGUCUCAAGCUGAGGUAAAAAAACCAGGUGAAUCUUUUCGUCUGGUCUGUACCGCAUCUGGAUUUACAUUCAGCAGCUACUGGGCAAGUGUGGUGAGACAAGCUCCCGGUAAAGGAUUGGAGUGGGUUGCAACUAUUGGCACAUCCAGUUCUCCUAUCCGCUAUUCUCAGGCAGUCCAGGGAAGGUUCACAGUGUCCAGAGAUGAUUCCAGCAGUCAACUGUACCUUCAGAUGAACAACCUUAAGACUGAAGACACUGCUGUCUAUUACUGUGCCAGAGAGACACUGUGA